CACUAUCAGCUACACUGCGCUGACGAGCCCCAAAAGGGCGAAACAGCUGUCCGCAGUUGCUGGUAGAGAGCUUU
rnacentral:sRNA from 1 species